UGUAAUUUUCUCAGGCAUUUUCAUUUUCUAUGCCUGCCAAAUUUAUGUUUUUUUUUUUAAUUUUCUCUGACUAUAUUUUACAUCUAUAUGUAAUAUUAUUCUUUUGUCUGUGUCUAAGUUUCUUUGGCAUUUAUAAUUUUCUCUGGCCACAUCACUUUUCUUCUUUGUGUAUCUCUAUCAUGUUUAAUUUUCUCUGAUUGUGUAUGUAAAUUUCUCUUGCAUAUUAAUAUUAUGGAAUAGAAAUUUUCUCUGGAAUGUGUAAUUUUCUCUGGCAUUUUCAUUUUCUGUGCUUGCUAGAUUUAUGUUUCUUUCUUGAAUUUUCUCUCGCUAUAUUUUACAUCUAUAUUUAAUUUGUAGCGAUUUUUGAAAAUUUAUCUGUCGUAUUUAUGUUGCUUUGGUUAUUUUCUCUAGGAAUGAAAAUUAGCUGUGGCCACAUGUAUUCCACAUGAAAACACCUAGUAUUCUCUUGUCAGCGUCUAAGUUUCUUUGGAAUUUAUAAUUUUCUCUGACCACAUUAGUUUUCUCCUUUGUGUCUGUCUGUCAUGUUCAAUUUUCUCUAGUAUGUUUAUUUUGUUCAAUUCUUAGUUUCAAUGUUGUGUAAUUUUCUAUGGCAUGUUUACGUUACUUUGUUUAUUUUAUCUUGCUAAUUGUGGAAUGGAAAUUUUCUCUGAUUUGCCAUGUUUAUUUUUCUCUAUCAUAUUCAUUUUCUGUGCUUGCUGGAUAUAUAUUUCUUUUUUGAAUUUUCUCUGGCUAUAUUUACUUCUAUAUGUAAUUUUAACAAUUAUUGAAAAUUUCUCUAGCAUGUUUAUGUUGCUUUGUUAAUUUUCUCUGGGAAUGAAAAUUUUCUGUGGCUAGAUGUAUUCCACAGAAAAACAAUUAGUACUCUGAUAUUUAAUUUUCAGUGUCUAAUUUUCUCUGACAUUUAUAAUUUUCCCUAACCAUCUUAGUUUUCUCCCUUAUGUGUAAUUUUCUUUGACAUGUCCAAUUUUCUCUAGCAUGUUCAAUUUUCUUUGGGAUUUAAUGUUGACAUCUUUAUGUUUUCAUCAUUGUUUAGAAAUGGCAAAAUGUAAAAGCAGCAAAACACCAGAAACACCAAGCAAGAAACAGAAACACUCUCAGUCUUUUUAUGAUCUAAGAUAAAAAAGAAGCAAAACACCACAAAUUCCUUGCCAAUACACACAAGUCCAAGGUGAUGAAGCAACUAGCAUCAAAAUAAAUACCCCAACUUUAAAAGACUCAAGCUCAAGGGGGAAAAAACCUGUUAAACUCCAAAGAAAGAGAGCUCAUUACAGCAUUUAGUAUCGAUCCAACCUCUCAUUUGUUGUCUCCUUUUUUCAAACACUUAAAUUCAAUUCAAAUCAACUUGAAGAGUUUCAAAGACCCCAUUCUGGUAUUUGAUCCAAGCUCUAACCACUAGAAGAAUGGAUCCAAGGAAAUCUAGGAAAUCUGAUGAUGAUGCAGUUGCAAUAAUCCAACGUUACAAUGAAAAAACGAAAGCAUUCACAGUUAGUAAAAAGAACUUGACCUUUAUAACCAAUGACAUGACCUUGAUUUUUGGUUUGCAAGGAGGUAAAUGAGUAAUGUCAUUAAGAUACUCUAAAAAGUCAAAAUUUGCAUUCCUAAGGAGAAGGUUCUCAAAGGACACAAGGCUCACUGGUUCUGUUCUUAAAAAUGUCUUGGUCAAAGCAAUGAAAGGCAAGCAACCAUCUGACUUCAAAGAUGUAGCAAUCAUUAUUACCUUGUACUUGUGUCUCACCCUAUUUUUUGAAACAAGUGGGAAUUCAAUAGGGUGAGUUUUUUAUAAAGUACGUGGAACCCCUUGAAUCAAUGAAACAAUAUGAUUGGUCAGAAGCAAUCACAUUAACAUUGAUCGAUUCUAUCACAGCAUUGCACAAAACUCCAGAAAAAGUUACGAGGUGUGUCAUUGCAUUGCUGGUAAGUAUAAUUUCCAUUUAAAUUUACAGUUAUGAUACUUACAAAUUUGUGUAUUUAACAAAAUUUAAUUACUUUAAUUUCUAUCAUAGUAUUGGCUAUGUGAACAUGCGAAUAUCAUUGACUCGGAAGACAGUAACACAACUGACUUCCCAAGAUGUGCCAAGUGGAACCUGCAAAGCUUGACCAAACAGUUGCAGAAGACACCAAUCCACUCUCUUAUACCUCGACAGAAUUUAAAGGCAAAAGAAAGGAAAGAAAAGCAGCAAGAUCCAGAAUUUCAAUGUCCCAAAGUUGCGAAGGUGACUGGAGGUUCAAAGCAAGCUGCAAAGCAAACAGUGCAAACCACCAAAGACAAAGAGUACUUGAUGCCGAUGAGUACGUCUUGCCUCAACCAACAAGCAUCAGAAAAUCUUAGGUUUUUUCACAAACUUUACCAGUUUCAAAAUUGGUAAAAGAACAUGUAAAAGACAUCUUGCAGCACCUAUCAAAUGUGUCUGGACUCGAGGCUUUAAUCUGGACAAGUGAAUUGAAUCUCAUUACUUUUGAAAAUAUUGGAAACCAAAUAAAGGAAAAAGAAAUUGCCAAUAAUGUCAUUGAUGGCUAUGGAGAGAUCCUAUUUGCUGAUCAAAGGAGAAAAGGACAACAACCAACUUCAUUUUUUUUCACAUGCAUGAGCUUAAACUUCAUCAAGAUGACGGAAAAUCAAACUUUUCGAGUCUCAUUAUUUGACAAGCAUCUUGAAACGACAUGGAGGAACUACAGGUUCCUCCAUUUCCUAAUAAAUACCAGGGGCAAUGAGAAGUCAACAGAUGGAAAUCAUUGGAUCUUACUAGUCUUGGACAAACAAGACAAUUUAUGGAGGUUCUACAACUCACUAAGGCCAAGACGGAAUGAUGCACAAGACAAAUAUAUCAAAGAUGCAAAACAAUUGAUAACGAGUGCAAAUUUCUCUGAUCCAUGAUAAUGUUUAUGCGAUGAUAAUUUUCAUAGAAUCUCAUUGAUUUGUGUGUAAAUUUCUCUCUUAUUUAAAAAUUAUUUUUUUGUAGCAAGAUUAUGUGGAGAAUUUUUUGAAAUCUUGUCUUGAAAGAGAAACACAAUCAUAACCCUCUUUCAAAUUGAUAAACUCACAAAACACAAAUUAUGACUUUGAAUAUGUCAACAAUGCUCCACAACAAGACAGUGAUUUGUAAGUUCCAUACAAUAUCUAUAAAUAAGAUAAUCUAAUUUGAAUGUUUCUUAAAACCAACUAUAUCUAUAAUUUGUAUGCAGUGUGGAUUAUGGCCUAUUUGUAAGCUACAUAAUGAGACAAUAUAGCAACCAUGAACCUAUCAGCUCGAAAUUGCCGACACAAGACGUAAAGUUGAUGAGGGCAAAACUCAUAGAGAGAUUUGUGACCGAAGUUGGCUGGUCAUGGAGAGAACCAAUUCAAAUACCACUAGAAGAAGAACCAAAAGUAUAAUAGUAAAAGCACACUAGUGAAAGAAAGACAAUGCACACAAUGUAAUUAGGAAUAACCCUUCAAUUUGUUUUUUUAUACAUUAAAGGAAUGAUGAUGUUUGACAUAUAUGUAUAUAUCUUUUUUUGACUAAUGUAAACUUCAUAGCUAUCAAUGGUUAAAUAUAU